AUGGAGGGAAGACGACUUCUUCCCACAAGAAGGUUCCCUUCUACUCGAGUGGACUGGAGCCCUGAGCUUAUUCCUCAAGGAAAUUUUCUCUCUGGAAGAAAUCCAAUCCUAUCAGACUCAGACAAAAGCCCUGUCACUGGGGUUGUGGGAAAAAGAAAAACCGUACACGGCAGCCCUAACUCUUGCAGAGAGAAUAUGUUAAAUCAUAAAGCAAGAUCAUAUAUGAUCGCAUCUCAAAGUGUGCAAAACAGCAGUAGUGAGGGGGUGGAUUCAGAGGAAGAAGGAGGAAGUACCGACGGGGGAGGCAGGAAAAGAAAUGCCAUCCUGGAUCAGAGCUGUGAACGUCAAAGGAGAGGGGUGAUCCUCACCUCUGGAGAUGAGAGACUGGAAGAGAAUGCCUGUGAAGUUGGUAGGUGGAAGCCAUCAGUGCUGGAGGCAAGAUAGUCUGACCUGGUGUUCUUACCAACAUGUUCUGGCCUGGAGGCCUGGCAUUCUCUGUCCUCUGCCAAGUGGAGGAAUUGGAAAAUUAAAGGUUGUUUGGGGGCCUGGGCACAUGCUUUCUUCUUCUUUAGCUACUUAUAGGAGAUAUCAUGAGAUUUAAAAAUGCAUGUGAAAGUGUUAGGAUCAUGAUUGCCUCUUUCUUCUUUCUCUCAUUGAGCAUUUGUAUUUUCACUCUAACAAUUGGAACAAGUCUUUUUGCUGCCUUAGCAGUACAGCAUAGUGGUGGGGAUCCUGGUCUCUAGAAAGGCAGACCACCUGGGGCCAUAUCUCAGCCACUACUUCCUGGCUGGAUUACCUUAACAUGCUCCUUCACUUCUGUGCCUCAGCUCCUUCAUCUAGAAAAUAGACACACUGAUAGUUUACACUGUAUGGGGUUGUUUAAUAUAUGGAAAUGCUUAAUAAAUGUUAGUUGCUGUCAUCAUCAUUAUCAUCAAUAUCUAUGGGCCUUUUUAGUUUGCUUUUUUAUUUAAAAAAAAUUUUAUACUUAAGAAAGGGAAGCUUUUCUGGUCUUAGCUGCCUUUCUCCAUUGCCUAGCAAUCUGAAAAUAGUGCAGUCAUUGAAGGUUAAGUCGACCCUUUAUGCAAUUCUUGCCUGGGAGGCCUCAUUGUGUAUAGUGAGUCACCACCACUUAGAAGUGGACAGUGAGUCAGUAGCCUAUUAAGGGGAGGUCAGAAGUUCCCCUGGCUCAAAAUGAAAGGAUCCAAACCCAACCCUGGGGUACAGAAAAAACAGUGUACUUAUAUGGCUGACUGGACUUGAAGUGCCAUGGAGUACCUGGACUACUCCAGUGAGAAGGCAUAAUAUGGCGGGUAAACGCUGGGGCUUUAGAAUCACACAGGCCUCAGUUGGAUUUCAGCUCUACCUCUGCCUUGCUGUGUGACCUCAGACAAGUUGCUUAACCUCUCUGUGCCUCAUUUUUCUAUCAUCUGUAAAUGGAAAUGAUCAUAACAGAAAUUACUUCAUGAUACAAAUGA
rnacentral:lncRNA from 1 species